AGCCAGCAGAAAGUGAGUCUGCACUGACUGAUUAAAAUAACAAAAAGUUAAUAGCUAAUCUAUUCUUUCCUGUGACAUACCUUUGUUAAUCCAUUUAAUCAGAUCCAGCCCUUACUGAAAGAGUGAGCAUUUCAAUUGAGAGCUAUGGGAGGCAAGGAGGAUGAUGGAAUGGAUAAUGCCUGGUGAUAAAAUGAAGAGGAGUAUAAAGUAACAUCUGCAAGGAGAAGAGAAUUGAUUACAGCCUGGAAGAAGAAUUAAAGUCUAAGGACUCAUCAAAUGAUACGGAAGAUAGAAGGACCUAAAUUAUCACUGCUGAUUUCAUAAGGAGUAAUUUUAGGAUGGGAACACUGCCUUGAAAAGGACUGACAGAAACCUCCAUAACCACAACUGCUGUAGUUACUAUUGUGCUAUGAAGUAGGUUCCAGCCAGAUCCUCCCACCCACUUUCAACAAACAGGUGUCAGAAUGCAGUAGGUUUCAGGGGUGUGAGAAGUAAGGCAGAACAUGUAUACAAAACUUUUAUGCUGUGAUACAGAAUUAAAGUCCUUGUUUGGAUCUCUUAGUUUAAUUGGUCUCUUUAUUUCCCCUCUCUGUGACCUAAAGGUGACAUGGUUCAUUCCCGUCACUUUUCAUUCACUUUACAAAUCUUGCCUCACUUUUUUAGUAUUGAUUUCCUUAUGAUGCUCCAUUUUGCCCAGGAGCUAAAACUGGGAGCAAUUUAAUGACAAAUUAUUACACAGAUCUCAUUAAAAUAUUUUCUGUUGCAUUGCAAAUCAUUAUUUCUUAUGCACGAAAGGCAUACUUCAUUAACGUACCCCAUAUGUUCUUAUUUUUAGAAAAUCAUAUGGUGUUAGAAAUUCCAUCUGUAGUACUAAUAUGAUAGUUUUGCUUAACUAAAUGAUAUUUGUUUAACCAAAUUGUUCAUAUGCCAUGGUACAAUUUUUCCGGCAUGGAUUUAAUUAUAAAAUUACAGACACCAAUCUUCCUAUUGCUAUAGGAUGAAGACUGACAAACAUGUUAUUGAAGAAACACAAUAUAAUUUCACAUCAUAUUGUGCUAAUUAGUUUGGAUAUAACAAAAAUCUAUGUGCAAAAUAUACUGCUGGUACUGUGAGUGCAAUUGAGAAGAGGCGUAUAACUUCUGGAGAUUAGAUCACCUUGUCACCCCUAUAUCGGAGAGGGUAUGAGCAUUCAAACUACAGAAAUUGGGAAGUGUUAUUCUUAUGGUGUCCUCCUUGUAACUAUGCAUUUUCUGAAGCAUUUGUGAGCCCAACUUGACUUCAAAAUAAGGUACAUACAGGUGCUUGUUUUGAAAGGGUUCUUCGUCUAUUUAAAUUUGACAUCUACUCCGGUGGCUCAAUGUGUUAAAGCGCUGAGCUGCUGAACUUGCAGACCGAAAGGUCCCAGGUUCAAAUCCGGGGAGUGGACUGAGCGCCUGCUGUUAGCUCCAGCUUCUGCCAACCUAGCAGUUCGAAAACAAUCAAAUGUGAGUAGAUCAAUAAGUACCGCUCCGGCAGGAAGGUAACGGCGUUCCAUGCAGUCAUGCUGGCCACAUGAUCUUGGAGGUGUCUACGGACAACGCCGGCUCUUCAGCUUAGAAAUGGAGAUGAGUAUGAACCCUC